rnacentral:rRNA from 1 species
AACGAACGCUGGCGGCAUGCCUAACACAUGCAAGUCGAACGAGACCUUCGGGUCUAGUGGCGCACGGGUGCGUAACGCGUGGGAACCUGCCCUUAGGUUCGGAAUAACUCCCCGAAAGGGGUGCUAAUACCGGAUAAUGUCUUCGGACCAAAGAUUUAUCGCCUUUGGAUGGGCCCGCGUUGGAUUAGCUAGUUGGUAGGGUAAAAGCCUACCAAGGCGACGAUCCAUAGCUGGUCUGAGGGGAUGAUCAGCCACACUGGGACUGAGACACGGCCCAGACUCCUACGGGAGGCAGCAGUGGGGAAUAUUGGACAAUGGGCGAAAGCCUGAUCCAGCAAUGCCGCGUGAGUGAUGAAGGCCUUAGGGUUGUAAAGCUCUUUUACCCGGGAUGAUAAUGACAGUACCGGGAGAAUAAGCGCCGGCUAACUCCGUG